UACGGGGGGGGCUAGCGUUGUUCGGAAUUACUGGGCGUAAAGGGCGCGUAGGCGGUUCAUUAAGUUGGAUGUGAAAACUCUGGGCUUAACCCAGAGCCUGCAUUCAAAACUGAUGGGCUGGAGUUCUGGAGGGGAUAGCGGAAUUCCUGGUGUAGCGGUGAAAUUCGUAGAUAUCAAGCGGAACACCGGUGGCGAAGGCGGCCUUCUGGACAGUGACUGACGCUGAGACGCGAAAGCGUGGGGAGCAAACAGG
rnacentral:rRNA from 1 species